UACCAAGAGAUGACAAAAGCCGUUGCAA
rnacentral:sRNA from 1 species